CGGAAGUGGGGAGUACCAGGAACCCACCCGGGCACGGCCUCGACCGCCCCCGGGGCCACCCGGGGCUGCCAAUCCGGCUUAUCGGCUGCUCCUGGCCACUUACGCUCGACCAAUGGGAGGCCUCGCCCGAGCCCCGCCCGAUGGCACCAAACCAAUUAACACCGACGGUGAACCUGAGGGGGGGGCGGGGGCUUACGCCGAGGCUGACGUCACUGGAGGCUCCGCCUACGCGCUGGCUGGCCCCACCCACAGCCCUGCCCACGGCCCCGCCCUCCCCUCCUUCCCCCGGCACCGCCUCCGCUUCCGGGAGAAGCUGGGGGAGGGGCAGU